GUCCACGCCCUAACGAUGUCAACUGGUUGUUGGGAAGGUUCCUUCUCAGUAACGUAGCUAACGCGUGAAGUUGACCGCCUGGGGAGUACGGCCGCAAGGUUGAAACUCAAAGGAAUUGACGGGACCCGCACAAGCGGUGGAUGAUGUGGUUUAAUUCGACGCAACGCGAAACCUUACCUACCCUUGACAUGUCUGGAAUUUUGCAGAGAUGUGAAAGUGCUCGAAAGAGAACCGGAACACAGGUGCUGCAUGGCCGUCGU
rnacentral:rRNA from 1 species